AGCGAACGCUGGCAGCAGGCCUAACACAUGCAAGUCGAACGGACCCUUCGGGGUUAGUGGCGGACGGGUGAGUAACACGUGGGAACGUGCCUUUAGGUUCGGAAUAGCUCCUGGAAACGGGUGGUAAUGCCGAAUGUGCCCUUCGGGGGAAAGAUUUAUCGCCUUUAGAGCGGCCCGCGUCGGAUUAGCUAGUUGGUGAGGUAAUGGCUCACCAAGGCGACGAUCAGUAGCUGGUCUGAGAGGAUGACCAGCCACAUUGGGACUGAGACACGGCCCAAACUCCUACGGGAGGCAGCAGUGGGGAAUCUUGCGCAAUGGGCGAAAGCCUGACGCAGCCAUGCCGCGUGAAUGAUGAAGGUCUUAGGAUUGUAAAAUUCUUUCACCGGGGACGAUAAUGACGGUACCCGGAGAAGAAGCCCCGGCUAACUUCGUGCCAGCCGCCGCAGUAACAC
rnacentral:rRNA from 1 species